rnacentral:lncRNA from 1 species
UAUAAAUUAUAAAAUGUAUUAAAGUGUAAGUAUGUAUAUAUAGGUAUGUACAUAUAUAACAUAAUCUAAAAACAGUAUAAAUGGGUAAACAAUAAGGCAAAUAAUAAAAAUAAAAGCAAUAAUGAUGAUAAAACUAAUUGAUUUUAAAAAAAUAAAAAAAUAAAAAUGAAACAAUAAAAGAAACGGGACUAAAAUGAAAACAAAG